AUACGGAGGAUGCGAGCGUUAUCCGGAUUUAUUGGGUUUAAAGGGUGCGCAGGCGGGCGAUUAAGUCAGCGGUGAAAGGCUCGGACUCAACCGGAGCAGUGCCGUUGAUACUGGUUGUCUUGAAUGCGGUCAAGGCCGGCGGAAUGUGGCGUGUAGCGGUGAAAUGCUUAGAUAUCACUCAGAACACCGAUUGCGAAGGCAUCUGACGAAUCCGUCACUGACGCUGAGGCACGAAAGCGUGGGGAUAGAACAGGAUUAGAUACCCUGGUAUUCCACGCCGUAAACGAUGAUGACUAACCGUCGGCGAUAGACAGCCGGUGGCCAAGCGAAAGCGAUAAGUCAUCCACCUGGGGAGUACGUCGGCAACGAUGAAACUCAAAUGAAUUGGCGGGG
rnacentral:rRNA from 1 species